rfam:Felis catus isolate Cinnamon breed Abyssinian chromosome B4, whole genome shotgun sequence.
GCCUGAGUGGCUCAGUCGGUUGAGCGUCCGACUUCGGCUCAGGUCAUGAUCGCACAGUCCGUGGGUUCGAUCCCCGCACUGGGCU